rnacentral:rRNA from 1 species
GACGUAGGGCGCGAGCGUUGUCCGGAUUUAUUGGGCGUAAAGAGCUCGUAGGCGGCUUGUCGCGUCGACUGUGAAAACCCGCGGCUCAACUGCGGGCCUGCAGCCGAUACGGGCAGGCUAGAGUUCGGUAGGGGAGACUGGAAUUCCUGGUGUAGCAGUGAAAUGCGUAGAUAUCAGGAGGAACACCGAUGGCGAAGGCAGGUCUCUGGGCUGACACUGACGCUCAUGCACGAAAGCGUGGGGAGCAAACAGG